rnacentral:rRNA from 1 species
AGCGUUGUCCGGAUUUAUUGGGCGUAAAGCGCGCGCAGGUGGUCCGUUAAGUCCUGUGUGAAAUCUCCCGGCUCACCCGGGAGGGGGCGCGGGAUACUGGGGGACUGGAGGCAGGCAGAGGCCGGUGGAAUUCCCGGUGUAGUGGUGAAAUGCGUAGAGAUCCGGAGGAACACCAGUGGCGAAGGCGGCUGGCUGGACCUGACCUGACGCUGAGGCGCGAAGGCGUGGGGAGCGAACGGG